CCUUCCCCUCCUCUGCAUGCCUUUAGCUUCCCACCAAGCUGGGCCUGAGAAACAAGGGACCCGAACCUGGAGAGGCCGGUGUUCCUGGACUGCUCUGCAGUCACAGAUUGUCACGGAGCCCCUGGUUGUCUGAGGACCCCAGGCCUGAACCUUCCUUGAGGAAGACUGAUUUCUUUCAGACUACUUUGCUCAGUUUGAUUUUAAACAGAAGGCUAAUAAUUAUCCAGAAGAGACAGGAUGAGGCUUGGACAAAGGAGGUGGAGGGUAUCAAAAGAUAUUUAGAAGAUAAAGGAAGUCUGGACUUGGUGCUGUGGGUAUACCCUCCCUCAUGGCACACACCAGGUUAUUUUGAAGCAAAUCCUAGACGUCAUCAAACAGUUCAAAUUGCCCAAGUGUCUCCUACACACUUCUUUUUUCUUUUACAGUUUGUUUGAAUCUGGGUCCAAAUAAAGUCCACACAUUGCACCUGGUUGUCAUGUCUCGCUCAUCUUGGGUCCUGCCUCCUCUCUACCCCCUCACCUCCUUUCUCCUUCUUUUCUUUUCUUGCAAUUUAUCAGUUGAAGGCAUUGAGCCAUUUCUGGGCCUUAUUCUUGUGAUGUGAUUUAACAUGUUCCUCCAUGCCCUGCAUGUCCUGUAAACUGGUUCUUAGAUCCAGUGGUUGGUUAGUCUCACGUUCAGUUUUCUGGUAAAAACACAUCAUGAGUGACGGUUUGUUCUCCUGAUUCCAUUGCAUCAGGACGCCUGCUUUUCCCUGUUUUUCUAGUGUUUAGGCUGAGCAUUGGGUUCAGGUGUAGUCAGACUAGGCAACAAUUAUAAAAUUCCCCGUCCGUUUUUCACCUAAUGGUUUAGUUGAUCAUCACUGCCUAGCUCUAUUAUUUCAUUAGGAGUUGCAAAAUUGGGAUGUCCUAAUUCUGUCAUUCUGCAGUAAGAACUUGCCAUCAUCAAUUUGUUUACCAUGAGAUACAGGUCAUACAGGAAAGGCAGGAUAAAUGUGUGGGUUUUUUCUUAUGAUUUACCAGUUUUCAGAAAAAUGAGUUGGUUCUCUAGCAUCUUGAAAAAGUAAUUAGUUGUUUUUAAUAUCAUUAUGAACUUGUACAUUUUAACAUCUUUUGUGUAUUUCAAUCCAUUGCAGUUAUUCUUUUUGAUGUUCAAAUUGUCCCAAUUUUGGUCGGUGGGAGCUUCUUCUGGUUGGUGCCUAAGCUUGCUUUCUUUCUUUUUUUUUGAGACGGAGUUUCGCUCUUGUUGCCCAGGCUGGAGUGCAAUGGCGCGAUCUCGGCUCACCGCAACCUCCGCCUCCCGAGUUCAAGAGAUUCUCCUGCCUCAGCCUCCCGAGUAGCUGGAAUUACAGGCAUGCGCCACCACACCCGGCUAAUUUUGUAUGUUUAGUAGAAACAGGGUUUCUACAUGUUGGUCAGGCUGGUCUAGAACUCCCGACGUCAGGUGAUCCACCCGCCUCGGCCUCCCAAAGUGCUGGGAUUACAGGCGUGAGCCACCAUGCCCGGCUCCGUCUCCUCCUCCUCCUCCUCUUCUUCCAGACAGAGCCAGACUCCAUCUCAAAAAAAAAAAAAAAAAAAAGAAAAAGACGAUUAUCUGACUAUUCGGGUGGCAGGGAGAUUAGAGAGGAGCCUGCUACAACAAUCCAGCAAGAGAGGCUGAGGGGUUGUCAGUGGGAUGGGGAAGGAUGGUUGACAGGGGGAUUAUUGAGGAAAUGGAAUUGACAGGAUGUGGUGACUGGAAGUAAGACGGUAGGGGGAGGGAAGAAUCAAGGAUGCAUCCCCCAGCCUGGGCCUGGCCACUCUCUGGGAGUGCAGAAAGACUGGAAGGAAGUAUGGCAGGGUCAAGUGAAGGUAUCAGCAGGCACUACACAUCUGAGUCCAGAGGUGGGAGCGAGAUUCAGGAGCCCUUAGCAAGCAGGAAAUAGCUGAAUCCGUAGAACAUGUGUAGCAUGAGGAGAGAAAACCUCACCCGAGGAAAACCAGGAUUUACAGGGAGAACAGAAAAAGAGAUUGGAGCUGGGCGCGGUGGCUCACGCCUGUAAUCCCAGCCCUUUGGGAGCUCGAGGCGGGUGGAUCAUCUGAGGUCAGCAAUUCGAGACCAGCCUCUCCAACAUGGUGAAUCCCGGUCUCUACUUUAAAAAAAAAAAAUUAAAUUAACCGGCACCACGCCUGUAAUCCCAGCUACUCGGGAGGUUGAGGAAGGAAAAUCGCUUGAACCCGGGAGGCAGAGGUUGCGGCGAGCGAGAACGCGCCACACAGCACUCCAGCCUGGGCGACAGAGUGAGACUCCGUUUCAAAAAAAUUUAUAAAAGAAAAAAGAAAAAGAGACUGGAGCGGGGAGCCAGUUAGGAAGGGCCAGCAGACUAGUGUCAAGACAACCAUGGGAAAUGAGGCUCAUGGAGAAGAUGUUGCCUGGAGUCGGUUAAGGCCAGGCCUGAGAAAGCCUGUUGGCUUUGACAUCUCUGUGGUCCCUGAUAACUUUCGAGAGAGCCACUGUGUAGAAAUUUGGCUUGGAUGGAAAGGAAUGAGAUACAGGCAGGACCUCUUGUGCCAUCUCGGCCUAUUGAACUCCUUUCAUUCUUCUAGAAACAGCCGGGCGCGGUGGUUCACGCCUGUAAUCCCAGCACUUUGCGGGGCCGAGGAGGGCGGAUCACGAGAUCAGGAGUUGAAGACCAGCCUGGCCAACAUGGUGAAACCCUGUCACCACCAAAAAUACAAAAAUUAUAGCUGGGCGCGGUGGUGGGCGCUGUAAUCCCAGCUACUCGGGAGGCUGAGGCAGACUUGCUUGAAUCCGGGAGGCGGAGGUUGCAGUGAGCCAAGGUCGCGCCGCCGCACUCCAGCCUGGACGACAGAGUGAGACUCCGUCUCAAAAAAACAAAACAAAACAAAACAAAACAAAAACAGAAAAACAACAACAAAAAACUUAUGUUGGCCGGGCAUGGUGGCUCACGCCUGUAAUCCCAGCACUUUGGGAGGCCGAGGCGGGCGGAUCACCUGACGUCGGGAGUUCGAGACCAGCCUGACCAACAUGUAGAAACCCUGUUUCUACUAAACAUACAAAAUUAGCCGGGCAUGGUGGCGCAUGCCUGUAAUCCCAGCUACUCGGGAGGCUGAGGCAGGAGAAUCUCUUGAACUCGGGAGGCGGAGGUUGCGGUGAGCCGAGAUCGCGCCAUUGCACUCCAGCCUGGGCAACAAGAGCGAAACUCCGUCUCAAAAAAAAAAAAAAAAAAAAAAAAAAAAAAGAAAUACUGAUGUUUGUGGUGGUUAAAAUUAGAACAGAGAUUGCCUCUGGCAAGGGAGGAGUGGGGAUCCGUAGAGAAGGGACAGACAUGCAAGAACCUUGAGAGAGGGAAAUGUCCUAUAUGCUUUUAAAGAGUUGUGAUUUGCGCAGGUGUAUGUAUUUGUCAAAACUCAUCAAAAUAUAGACAAAAUUUAUCUGCCCUCCAACAGUUGAAAUACCGAUAUUUUUCAAAAGUUUUACAUACCGAUCUCAGAGCUCUUCCCUGGGCCGUUUAAAUCAGAAUCUCCGAACCCGGGGGUUGUGCGUGGGUACAUUCGAAGUCUCCGCAGGCAAUUACAAAAGUGCAACCGGGGAGGAGACCUGCUGCUGGGGGAGCAAAUCUCUUACCACUUCAGGUGCCCUAGGCUCUGGCACUGCUCUGUCACGUUCCGUCUGGUUCCCAUCCUUCCAUCCGUUUCUAGGCAGGUCCGUCCCCACUGGGCUGUAAGCUUUGGGAUCCCCUGGCGAUCAGCUCGGGACCCUCUAUCUGGGCGUUGGCAGGACGCCGGGGGCCGGGAGGGACAGACCGCUAAGCCUGGAUCCCAUAGUCACUGCCCUGGGGUGCCACUCGCCCGGCUCGUCCUACAGGGCUGGCUCGGCGAGCGCAGAUACGACCCCGCAGCUGUUCAGAGGGGCAGAAAUGCCCUAGGUGCCCAUCCAUGCCUCGAUUCAUGACCCUGGCCUCCAGGGCGCACAGUGGUCAUGGGGAGACCUGAGCUGCCGAGUGGCCGGCCGACCUCGUGGCGCAACGGUAGCGCGUCUGACUCCAGAUCAGAAGGUUGCGUGUUCAAAUCACGUCGGGGUCAGCGGCUAUUUUUCUUCGGUUUUUAUUAACCCCCUUUAUUUUAAACUACGGUCGAGCUUCAGCGUUCAGGUCAUUGAAGAAGCAAUAUCUCCUUGGGGCCUGAAGGAGAGGGGUUUCUGGAAGUUCCAAGGCCGCCCCGUCUGGACAGCCCAACCAUCGCGCGGGGAUUUUUGCGAUGGAUCCGGGUACCGUAAUUCUGGGCGGAUAACGCGGGUCCUAAGACAGGAGCAGUUCUAGACCUCUCAGCAGAGGGACGAGGGUCGGGCCAUCACGCAUGGAAGAAGUCGGUCUCUGAUCUACGAGUUCUCUUUCCAGUGCCGAGCGGAUUCCUUCCAAAUGUGCAGCCUUCACGACGUAGGCGAGCCCCACCUGCAGGAAGUUCAGGUUCCAGAGAAGUGAGAUGCGGAGGGCAGUCUGAACAGCGAGGGCUGUCUGCAGACGAGGUGGCCGAGUGGUUAAGGCGAUGGACUGCUAAUCCAUUGUGCUCUGCACGCGUGGGUUCGAAUCCCAUCCUCGUCGGCUAAGGAAGUCCUGUGCUCAGUUUUGUAGCAU
rnacentral:tRNA from 1 species